rnacentral:rRNA from 1 species
UACGUAGGGACCAAGCGUUGUUCGGAUUUACUGGGCGUAAAGGGCGCGUAGGCGGCCUUCUAAGUCGAACGUGAAAUCCCCGGGCUCAACCCGGGAACUGCGUCCGAUACUGGAAGGCUUGAAUCCGGGAGAGGGAUGUGGAAUUCCAGGUGUAGCGGUGAAAUGCGUAGAUAUCUGGAGGAACACCGGUGGCGAAGGCGACAUCCUGGACCGGUAUUGACGCUGAGGCGCGAAAGCCAGGGGAGCAAAGCAGG